rnacentral:misc_RNA from 1 species
AACCAUAGAAACCUGCGGAGUACCUGCGGAGGGAUCAUUACCGAGUGCGGGUCCUCGUGGCCCAACCUCCCACCCGUGACUAUUGUACCUUGUUGCUUCGGCGGGCCCGUGCCCGCCGGAGACCCCAACAUGAACCCUGUUCUGAAAGCUUGCAGUCUGAGUGUGAUUCUUUGCAAUCAGUUAAAACUUUCAGCAACGGAUCU